GGAACCUGCGGAAGGAUCAUUAGUGAAUUAAACAUGCUUGGUGUCUUCGCUUCGGCAAGGCCCUUGCUUAACUCACAUCCCAACACCUGUGAACUGUAAGGCGCAUGACUAGGUUCGCCCAAGUCAUCGUCUGCCCUUUUUAACAAACAAUUAAUGUAACAAACGUAGUCUUAUUAUAACCUAAUAAAACUUUCAACAACGGAUCUCUUGGCUCUCGCAUCGAUGAAGAACGCAGCGAAAUGCGAUAAGUAAUGUGAAUUGCAGAAUUCAGUGAAUCAUCGAAUCUUUGAACGCACCUUGCGCUCUUUGGUAUUCCGAAGAGCAUGCCUGUUUGAGUGUCAUGAAAAUAUCAACCUUGACUUGGGUUUUGUGCUCUAGUCUCGGCUUGGAAUUGGGUGCUUGCCGCUUUUACGAGCGGCUCACCUUAAAUGUAUUAGCUGGAUCUGUCUUUGAGACUUGGUUUGACUUGGCGUAAUAAGUAUUUCGCUAAGGACAUUCUUCGGAGUGGCCUCGUUUCUAGGACGCUUGUCCGCUUUCCAAUACAAGUUCCACCUCGUGGACAUGACUUUUUAUUAUCUGGCCUCAAAUCAGGUAGGACUACCCGCUGAACUUAAGCAUAUCAAUAAGCGGAAGGAAAAGG
rnacentral:rRNA from 1 species